AAGUCGUAACAAGGUUUCCGUAGGUGAACCUGCGGAAGGAUCAUUAACACGUGAAUACCACGUAUUAACCAACGCGAACUGUUGCAUAUAUAUAUUCCUGUUGUCGGUGUUGAGUGAUGAGUGAGGGAAUGGUGUGAGAUUGGCAAUUCAUUGCUGAUUCUCUAACUCACUUGUCUAUCAGUGUGUCUAAUUUUAUUAGGCAUAACUGUAAACUUGCACUGGCAGCAGCAGAUGAGUUUCGGCAUCAGGCCUGCACCCUGGCCUGCUGUUGAAAUGACUAUAACCUUCACCCCUUUUUUUUUAUUAUUUAUUUCUGAUUUGUGCGUCUAUAUGAAUUCCUAGCUUCGGCUGGUUGAGUUUGUAUGGAUGUCGUAUAUACUAAUACGAAACAACUCUUAGCAACGGAUAUCUUGGUUCUC
rnacentral:misc_RNA from 1 species